UACAGAGGUCUCAAGCGUUUGUUCGGAUUCAUUGGGCGUAAAGGGUGCGUAGGCGGCGCGGUAAGUCGGGUGUGAAAUCUUGGAGCUUAACUCCGAAACUGCAUUCGAUACUGCCGUGCUUUGAGGACUGGAGAGGAGACUGGAAUUUACGGUGUAGCGGUGAAAAUUCGUAGAUAUUCGCAAGAACACCAGUGGCGAAGGCGGCUCACUGGCCCGAUACUGACGCUGAGGCACGGAAAGCGUGGGGAGCAAACAGGG
rnacentral:rRNA from 1 species